GACGAACGCUGGCGGCGUGCUUAACACAUGCAAGUCGAACUAAGUGGCGAACGGGUGAGUAACGCGUAAUCAACCUGCCCUUCUGAGGGGGACAACAGUUGGAAACGACUGCUUAUACCGCAUACUGAAGGUGGGGAUUGCGUCUGAUUAGCUAGUUGGAGGGGUAACGGCCCACCAAGGCGAUGAUCAGUAGCCGGGCUGCGAGGAUGAACGGCCACAUUGGGACUGAGACACGGCCCAGACUCCUACGGGAGGCAGCAGUGGGGAAUCUUCCGCAAUGGACGAAAGGCUGACGGAGCAACGCCGCGUACGUGAUGACGGCCUUCGGGUUGUAAAGCUCUGUUAAUCGGGACGCGGUACCGGAAUAGAAAGCCACGGCUAACUACGUGCCAGCAGCCGCGGUAAUAC
rnacentral:rRNA from 1 species